rnacentral:piRNA from 1 species
CNCAAACCUCACACGUAGGAAAAGGGCUGG